UCCUAGUUAACCUAGGCAGUCUCAUUAGAGUCCCCACCUCGCGUGUUGGCAACUAAUGAUAAGGGUUGCGCUCGUUGCGGGACUUAACCCAACACCUCACGGCACGAGCUGACGACAGCCAUGCAGCACCUAUACAAAGGCCCUUGCGGGAAAUACCAUCUCUGGUAUCGUCCUUUGCACUUCUAACCUGGGUAAGGUUCUUCGCGUUGCAUCGAAUUAAACCACAUGCUCCACUGCUUGUGCGGGCCCCCGUCAAUUCUUUUGAGUUUCACCCUUGCGAGCGUACUCCUCAGGCGGUAUACUUAUCGCGUUAGCUUCGACACAGUCAGGGUUGAGCCUAACUACAUCAAGUAUACAUCGUUUACGGCAAGGACUAC
rnacentral:misc_RNA from 1 species